rnacentral:misc_RNA from 1 species
GAUGAAGAACGUAGCGAAAUGCGAUAAGUAAUGUGAAUUGCAGAAUUCAGUGAAUCAUCAAAUCUUUGAACGCACAUUGCGCCCCCUGGAAUUCCGGGGGGCAUGCCUGUUCGAGCGUCUCAGGGACGAACCCUCGCGCGGGUGUACGCGCGGUCGUGGCUGCGGUGGCGUGCCCGAGGCGGCGGCCACCGCGCUGGAAUCCAUGGGCGGACGCCUGCCGCGUGGCCGAGCGUGAUAUGACGCAUUGGCGCUCGCACGCGGCGAGGCUGCCAGCCCUGGCCCGUCUGUCGGGCGGGGGAGAGCAAGACACGUGAACUCCUCGAAUCAGGUAGGGAUACCCGCUGAACUUAAGCAUAUCAAUAAGCGGAGGA